rnacentral:rRNA from 1 species
UACAGAGGUCUCAAGCGUUGUUCGGAUUCAGUUGGGCGUAAAGGGUGCGUAGGCGGCGUGGUAAGUCGGGUGUGAAAUCUCGGAGCUUAACUCCGAAACUGCAUUCGAUACUGCCGUGCUUGAGGACUGGAGAGGAGACUGAAUUUGACGGUGUAGCGGUGAAAUGCGUAGAUAUCGUAAGGAAGACCCAGUGGCGAAGGCG